rnacentral:rRNA from 1 species
UACGAAGGGGGCGAGCGUUGUUCGGAUUUACUGGGCGUAAAGGGCGCGUAGGCGGCGGGUCAAGUCGAGUGUGAAAGCCCCGGGCUCAACCUGGGAAUGGCAUUGGUGACUGUACGGCUAGAGUGUGUCAGAGGGGGUAGGAAUUCCACGUGUAGCAGUGAAAUGCGUAGAGAUGUGGAGGAAUACCGAUGGCGAAGGCAGCCCCCUGGGAUAACACUGACGCUCAUGCACGAAAGCGUGGGGAGCAAACAGG